rnacentral:rRNA from 1 species
AAUCAACGCUGGCGGCGUGCCUCAGACAUGCAAGUCGAACGCGAAAGUUUCCUUCGGGGAACAAGUAGAGUGGCGCACGGGUGAGUAACACGUAGGUAAUCUACCUUUGGAUGGGGAAUAACAACCGGAAACGGUUGCUAAUACCGCAUAAUGCAGCGGCACCUAAUGGUGACAGUUGUUAAAGCGGGGGAUCGAAAGACCUCGCGUCUGAAGAGGAGCCUGCGGCGGAUUAGCUAGNGGUAAGGUAAUGGCUUACCAAGGCGACGAUCCGUAACCGGCCUGAGAGGGCGGUCGGUCACACUGACACUGACAUACGGGUCAGACUCCUACGGGAGGCAGCAGUCGGGAAUUUUGGGCAAUGGGCGAAAGCCUGACCCAGCAACG